rnacentral:rRNA from 1 species
GGGCGCGUAGGCGGAUUAUCAAGUCUCUUGUGAAAUCUAAUGGCUUAACCAUUAAACUGCUUGGGAAACUGAUAGUCUAGAGUGAGGGAGAGGCAGAUGGAAUUGGUGGUGUAGGGGUAAAAUCCGUAGAUAUCACCAAGAAUACCCAUUGCGAAGGCGAUCUGCUGGAACUCAACUGACGCUAAGGCGCGAAAGCGUGGGGAGCAAACAGGAUUAGAUACCCUGGUAGUCCACGCCCUAAACGAUGUACACUAGUUGUUGGGGUGCUAGUCAUCUCAGUAAUGCAGCUAACGCAUUAAGUGUACCGCCUGGGGAGUACGGUCGCAAGAUUAAAACUCAAAGGAAUAGACGGGGACCCGCACAAGCGGUGGAGCAUGUGGUUUAAUUCGAAGAUACGCGAAGAACCUUACCUGGGCUUGAUAUCCUAAGAACCUUUUAGAGAUAAGAGGGUGCUAGCUUGCUAGAACUUAGAGACAGGUGCUGCACGGCUGUCGUCAGCUCGUGUCGUGAGAUGUUGGGUUAAGUCCCGCAACGAGCGCAACCCACGUAUUUAGUUGCUAACGGUUCGGCCGAGCACUCUAAAUAGACUGCCUUCGUAAGGAGGAGGAAGGUGUGGACGACGUCAAGUCAUCAUGGCCCUUAUGCCCAGGGCGACACACGUGCUACAAUGGCAUAUACAAUGAGACGCAAUACCGCGAGGUGGAGCAAAUCUAUAAAAUAUGUCCCAGUUCGGAUUGUUCUCUGCAACUCGAGAGCAUGAAGCCGGAAUCGCUAGUAAUCGUAGAUCAGCCAUGCUACGGUGAAUACGUUCCCGGGUCUU